GUUGUAUGGUUAAGUGACUAAGCGUACACGGUGGAUGCCUUGGCAGUCAGAGGCGAUGAAGGACGUAGUAACUUGCGAUAAGCCCAGAUUAGGUAGUAACAACCAUUUGAGUCUGGGAUUUCCGAAUGGGGAAACCCACUUACAUAAGUAAGUAUCGCUGCGUGAAUACAUAGCGCAGCGAGGCGAACCGGGGGAACUGAAACAUCUAAGUACCCCGAGGAAAAGAAAUCAACCGAGAUUCCGAAAGUAGCGGCGAGCGAAAUUGGACUAGCCCUUAAGCUUUACACGCGUUAGACGAACGGUCUGGAAAGUCCGACGAUACAGGGUGAUAGUCCCGUAGUUGACGACGUGUGUUCAGUGAAAUCGAGUAGGGCGGGACACGUGAUAUCCUGUCUGAAUAUGGGGGGACCAUCCUCCAAGGCUAAAUACUACUGACUGACCGAUAGUGAACCAGUACCGUGAGGGAAAGGCGAAAAGAACCCCUGUGAGGGGAGUGAAAUAGAACCUGAAACCGUGUACGUACAAGCAGUAGGAGCACCUUCGUGGUGUGACUGCGUACCUUUUGUAUAAUGGGUCAGCGACUUAUAUUCAGUGGCAAGGUUAACCAUCUAGGGGAGCCGUAGGGAAACCGAGUCUUAACUGGGCGUUCAGUCUCUGGAUAUAGACCCGAAACCAGGUGAUCUAGCCAUGGGCAGGUUGAAGGUUGAGUAACAUCAACUGGAGGACCGAACCGACUAAUGUUGAAAAAUUAGCGGAUGACUUGUGGCUAGGGGUGAAAGGCCAAUCAAACCUGGAGAUAGCUGGUUCUCCCCGAAAGCUAUUUAGGUAGCGCCUCGGACGAAUACUACUGGGGGUAGAGCACUGUUAAGGCUAGGGGGUCAUCCCGACUUACCAACCCUUUGCAAACUCCGAAUACCAGUAAGUACUAUCCGGGAGACACACGGCGGGUGCUAACGUCCGUCGUGGAGAGGGAAACAACCCAGACCGCCAGCUAAGGUCCCAAAUUACUACUAAGUGGGAAACGAUGUGGGAAGGCUCAGACAGCCAGGAUGUUGGCUUAGAAGCAGCCAUCAUUUAAAGAAAGCGUAAUAGCUCACUGGUCGAGUCGGCCUGCGCGGAAGAUGUAACGGGGCUAAGUAGUAAACCGAAGCUGCGGCAAUAUACUUUUGUAUAUUGGGUAGGGGAGCGUUCUGUAAGCGGUUGAAGGUGUGUGGUAACGCAUGCUGGACGUAUCAGAAGUGCGAAUGCUGACAUGAGUAACGAUAAAGGGGGUGAAAAACCUCCUCGCCGGAAGACCAAGGGUUCCUGUCCAACGUUAAUCGGGGCAGGGUAAGUCGACCCCUAAGGCGAGGCCGAAAGGCGUAGUCGAUGGGAAACGGGUUAAUAUUCCCGUACUUCUUACAAUUGCGAUGGGGGGACGGAGAAGGCUAGGUGGGCCUGGCGACGGUUGUCCAGGUUCAAGUGCGUAGGCUUAAGAGUUAGGUAAAUCCGGCUCUUUUUAAGGCUGAGACACGACGUCGAGCACCUACGGGUGUGAAGUCAUUGAUGCCAUGCUUCCAGGAAAAGCCUCUAAGCUUCAGAUUGUAAGGAAUCGUACCCCAAACCGACACAGGUGGUCGGGUAGAGAAUACCAAGGCGCUUGAGAGAACUCGGGUGAAGGAACUAGGCAAAAUGGUACCGUAACUUCGGGAGAAGGUACGCUCUUGAUGGUGAAGUCCCUUGCGGAUGGAGCUGACGAGAGUCGCAGAUACCAGGUGGCUGCAACUGUUUAUUAAAAACACAGCACUGUGCAAAAUCGUAAGAUGACGUAUACGGUGUGACGCCUGCCCGGUGCCGGAAGGUUAAUUGAUGGGGUUAGACUUCGGUCGAAGCUCUUGAUCGAAGCCCCGGUAAACGGCGGCCGUAACUAUAACGGUCCUAAGGUAGCGAAAUUCCUUGUCGGGUAAGUUCCGACCUGCACGAAUGGCGUAAUGAUGGCCACGCUGUCUCCACCCGAGACUCAGUGAAAUUGAAAUCGCUGUGAAGAUGCAGUGUACCCGCGGCUAGACGGAAAGACCCCGUGAACCUUUACUACAGCUUGGCACUGAACAUUGACCCUACAUGUGUAGGAUAGGUGGGAGGCUUUGAAGCACGUACGCCAGUAUGUGUGGAGCCGUCCUUGAAAUACCACCCUUGUAGUGUUGAUGUUCUAACGUCGACCCCUUAUCGGGGUUGCGGACAGUGCCUGGUGGGUAGUUUGACUGGGGCGGUCUCCUCCCAAAGAGUAACGGAGGAGCACGAAGGUGGGCUAAUCACGGUUGGACAUCGUGAGGUUAGUGCAAUGGCAUAAGCCCGCUUGACUGCGAGAAUGACAAUUCGAGCAGGUGCGAAAGCAGGUCAUAGUGAUCCGGUGGUUCUGAAUGGAAGGGCCAUCGCUCAACGGAUAAAAGGUACUCCGGGGAUAACAGGCUGAUACCGCCCAAGAGUUCAUAUCGACGGCGGUGUUUGGCACCUCGAUGUCGGCUCAUCACAUCCUGGGGCUGAAGUCGGUCCCAAGGGUAUGGCUGUUCGCCAUUUAAAGUGGUACGCGAGCUGGGUUUAGAACGUCGUGAGACAGUUCGGUCCCUAUCUGCCGUGGGCGUUGGAAGAUUGAAGGGGGCUGCUCCUAGUACGAGAGGACCGGAGUGGACGAACCUCUGGUGUUCGGGUUGUGUCGCCAGACGCAUUGCCCGGUAGCUAAGUUCGGAAUCGAUAACCGCUGAAAGCAUCUAAGCGGGAAGCGAGCCCUGAGAUGAGUCUUCCCUGAUACUUUAAGUAUCCUAAAGGGUUGUCGGAGACUACGACGUUGAUAGGUCAGGUGUGUAAGUGCUGUGAGGCAUUGAGCUAACUGAUACUAAUUGCCCGUGAGGCUUAACCAUACAACACCCAAGGGGUUU
rnacentral:rRNA from 1 species